AACGAACGCUGGCGGCGCGCCUAAUACAUGCAAGUCGAGCGAGAAGGUGUAGCAAUACACUUGUAAAGCGGCGAACGGGUGAGGAAUACAUGGGUAAUCUACCAUCGAGUGGGGAAUAACCAACCGAAAGGUUGGCUAAUACCGCGUACGCCUCCGAGUCUUCGGGUUCGGAGGGAAAGCUGCACUGUGAGUGUAGCGCUCUUUGAUGAGCUCAUGUCCUAUCAGCUUGUUGGUAGGGUAACGGCCUACCAAGGCUUUGACGGGUAGCUGGUCUGAGAGGACGAUCAGCCACACUGGCACUGCGACACGGGCCAGACUCCUACGGGAGGCAGCAGUAAGGAAUAUUGCGCAAUGGGCGAAAGCCUGACGCAGCGACGCCGCGUGGGGGAUGAAGGUCUUCGGAUUGUAAACCCCUUUCGGGAGGGAAGAUGGAGCGAGCAAUCG
rnacentral:rRNA from 1 species